UGCAAGUCGAACGGUAACAGGAAGCAGCUUGCUGCUUUGCUGACGAGUGGCGGACGGGUGAGUAAUGUCUGGGAAACUGCCUGAUGGAGGGGGAUAACUACUGGAAACGGUGGCUAAUACCGCAUAACGUCGCAAGACCAAAGAGGGGGACCUUCGGGCCUCUUGCCAUCAGAUGUGCCCAGAUGGGAUUAGCUUGUUGGUGAGGUAACGGCUCACCAAGGCGACGAUCCCUAGCUGGUCUGAGAGGAUGACCAG
rnacentral:rRNA from 1 species